rnacentral:rRNA from 1 species
AAUGAACGCUGGCGGCGUGCUUAACACAUGCAAGUCGAGCGCGAACGUGACCUUCGGGUCAUUAGUAGAGCGGCGAACGGGUGAGUAACACGUGGAUAACCUGCCUGGAAGUGGGGGACAACUUGGGGAAACUCGAGCUAAUACCGCAUACUUCUCUUCUUUCUCGAAAGAAGAUGGAAAGGUGGCUUCGGCUGCCGCUUUCAGAGGGGUCCGCGUCUGAUUAGCUAGUUGGUGGGGUAAUGGCCUACCAAGGCAACGAUCAGUAGCCGGCCUGAGAGGGUGAUCGGCCACACUGGAACUGAGACACGGUCCAG